UACAAGGAAAAUGAGAACAACAGGGAAAUACUGACAACCUUAUCCAUACAUAAGGGUAAAAAGGUCAAUACCACCGAGUCAACAGAAAAUUCGCAUAAACAGAGUACAAAGAAAUGAAUCCCAUCCAACAAGCCUGGAGGUGAUUCUCAACAAUGAAGAUCCAAAGACGGAGUACAAACAAAUGAAUCCCAUCCAACAAGCCUGGAGGUGAUUCUCAACAAAACACAAACAAAGAUACAAACUAAGACAGACGGUCUUCUGGAAUGAGGGUCUUCAGGUAAUGGCACUGGUCUAUCAACAGUGUGCAUUCUGAACAUUCUGGUAGAGGGGUAAUC
rnacentral:lncRNA from 1 species